rnacentral:rRNA from 1 species
GAUGAACGCUAGCGGUAUGCUUAACACAUGCAAGUCGAACGGACUCUUCGGAGUUAGUGGCGGACGGGUGAGUAACGCGUGAGAAUCUGGCUUUGGGUUCGGGACAACCACUGGAAACGGUGGCUAAUACCGGAUGUGCCGAGAGGUAAAAGAGAAAUUGCCUGAAGAUGAGCUCGCGUCUGAUUAGCUAGUUGGUGAGGUAAAGGCUCACCAAGGCAGCGAUCAGUAGCUGGUCUGAGAGGAUGACCAGCCACACUGGGACUGAGACACGGCCCAGACUCCUACGGGAGGCAGCAGUGGGGAAUUUACCGCAAUGGGCGAAAGCCUGACGGAGCAAUACCGCGUGAGGGAAGAAGGCUCUUGGGUUGUAAACCUCUUUUCUUAGGGAAGAACAAAAUGACGGUACCUAAGGAAUCAGCAUCGGCUAACUCCGUG